CCCUCUCCCUCUCCCUCUUCCUCCUUCUCUCUCAAGAUUUCCUUGCUGCUAAGUCUGCGCUGCUGCAGGAGGGCUGGGGGAAGGGCAGGGGUGCGGAGUCGGGGUGUCUUCUUUCUCUCUCUCUCUCUCUGCCCCCCUUCCCAUCAAGUGCGGACGCAAUGGGAGCUCCGGCCCGCCCCCACCCCUGCAUUUGCGAUUGGCUCCGGCAGGAGGUGGCUACCGCUGCCGCUGCUGCAGCAUCUCCCUGGGAGCCGCGACCCUGCGCCCGCCACCACCGCUGCCGCUGUCACCAGCCCAGCCCGAGGGGCGCCCAGGGCUCCCUGGAGCUGGGACUGCCCUGCAGCCCCACACCAGGUCCAAGACCAGCUGGACCCUCUGUGUCUGCACCCACCGGCUCUUCUGCAGUGGCUAUCUUCAGCUCUUUCUGUAGGUAGCUGCCUGCAGGGACACCUGUUCCGGGGUUCCAGCACUUUACCUGCAGGCUCACCUAGGGUGAGCCCCCAAGCAUGUGAGUGUCUUCUUCCUCCUUUCCUUCCUCCUCUCCUCACUCCCCCACCCCAGACCAUUGCUUUCUCCUUCUACUUUUUUCUCUCAGUCUGAGAAUGGCUUCCCUUUCACUACUAAGGAUCUGACCUGGAAGUCCUGCCCAUCUUUCUGAUUUUCAGAUUCCUUUCUACCUCACUCUGGGUAUUGAAGUUGGUAGGGCAGAAGGGAGCCUCCACUUCUUCCAGAGAGAUCUCAAAAUUCAAGAGGAGAGACAAAAUACAACUAAGUUUCCCAAG